UACGUAGGGGGCAAGCGUUGUCCGGAUUUAUUGGGCGUAAAGAGCUCGUAGGUGGUUUGGUAAGUCGGAUGUGAAAUCUCCAGGCUCAACCUGGAGGGGUCAUUCGAUACUGCCAUGACUAGAGGUCGGUAGGGGAGUGUGGAAUUCCUGGUGGAGCGGUGAAAUGCGCAGAUAUCAGGAGGAACACCCGUAGCGAAGGCGGCACUCUGGACCACGACUGACGCUGAAUAGCGAAAGCCAGGGGAGCAAACGGG
rnacentral:rRNA from 1 species